ACCCAGCUGGCUCAAUUGGAAGAGCAUGUGACUCCAGAUCUUGGGGUUGUGAGUUCGAGCCCCACGCUGGGUU